GGAAAGCUUUAUUGUGGUUUUGGAUGGACUCGCGGCCAUAUCAGCUUGUUGGUGAGGGUAAUGGCUCACCAUGGCGACGACGGGUAGCCGGCAUGAGAGGGUGACCGGCCACACUAGGACUGAGACACGGCCCAGACUCGUACGGGAGGCAGCAGUGGGGAAUAUUGCACAAUGGGCGAAAGCCUGAUGCAGCGACGCCGCGUGAGGGAUGACGGCCUUCGGGUUGUAAACCUCUUUCAGUAGGGAAGAAGCGAAAGUGACGGUACCUGCAGAAGAAGCGCCGGCUAACUACGUGCCAGCAGCCGCGGUAAUACGUAGGGCGCAAGCGUUAUCCGGAAUUAUUGGGCGUAAAGAGCUCGUAGGCGGUUUGUCGCGUCUGCCGUGAAAGUCCGGGGCUCAACUCCGGAUCUGCGGUGGGUACGGGCAGACUAGAGUGAUGUAGGGGAGACUGGAAUUCCUGGUGUAGCGGUGAAAUGCGCAGAUAUCAGGAGGAACACCGAUGGCGAAGGCAGGUCUCUGGGCAUUAACUGACGCUGAGGAGCGAAAGCAUGGGGAGCGAACAGGAUUAGAUACCCUGGUAGUCCAUGCCGUAAACGUUGGGCACUAGGUGUGGGGGACAUUCCACGUUUUCCGCGCCGUAGCUAACGCAUUAAGUGCCCCGCCUGGGGAGUACGGCCGCAAGGCUAAAACUCAAAGGAAUUGACGGGGGCCCGCACAAGCGGCGGAGCAUGCGGAUUAAUUCGAUGCAACGCGAAGAACCUUACCAAGGCUUGACAUGAACCGGAAAUACCUGGAAACAGGUGCCCCGCUUGCGGUCGGUUUACAGGUGGUGCAUGGU
rnacentral:rRNA from 1 species